CUUCAGCCCAAGACUGCAUACAUCUCUGAAUAAAACGCCGUGGAGAGAAGUACAUUGGCUGCAAAACACUGAGGAGCUAUGAUGCUUAAACCUUAAACCUUGAGGAAAUGUCUUGCUGCAGCAGAAGACAUUGCAGAAAGUCAUCUUUCUCAGCCCCUUUGAAAUGCACCAGGUGGAUAAUUAGGUGCAGGAAGCAUUCAGUGUCUUGGCGUGAUUUGUAUGCUAAGCAAUGAAAACCAGCACUGCUGAAUCGUUAUUACCCUUGAACAUCAAAGCAGGCUAUUAGAGAAGGGCUGGAAGAGCUCCAGUGAUAGCCAUGGGCCCCAGAAGCUCGUGGUCGUCGCUGGAGGCAUCCCUGCAGGAGUGGAAGUCCCGGUGGCGAGCAGGAUGAAGAACGGAUUCCUAUAAUUUAAACACCUGGAUCGGAAAACUCAUCAGCGCAUUUAGUCAUUAUAGGAAAACCAGUGGCUAAACUGGUACUAUGGGCAGCUGAACAUGUGAUUUCCCGUGGUCAGUGAAGAUGCAUUGCACUUAGCUGUGCCCCUGGUCCUUCAAGUCCCCUGUCCAGAAGUGACACCCUUUUUCAACAGCCACAGACAUAGAGAGGAGACCAAACAUCUGAUCCUACGGCUACAAAAUCGCAUACACUUCCACUUUACUUGAAGGGAAGCCCUCUGCCACCUUCACAGACCACCCUACCCACCAAGACCACCAACCCCUACAAGCCAGGUGCUCCCGCAAGGCAAUAAAGCUCAUUCCUGCUCUUGGAUGUCGUUAGUGACCUCC